AUUGAACGCUGGCGGCAGGCCUAACACAUGCAAGUCGAGCGAGCGGCGGGCGCGGGAGUAAUGUAUGGGGGUCUGCCCGAUAGAGGGGGAUAAAUACUGGAGACGGUAGAUAAUAUCGCAUACUAUCGGAUGAAAGCCUAUGGGAUUAGCUAGUAGGGGGGGUAAAGGCGCACCUAGGCGACGAUCCCUAGCUGGUCUGAGAGGAUGACCAGCCACAAUGGGACUGAGACACGGUCCAGACUCCUACGGGAGGCAGCAGUGGGGAAUAUUGCGCAAUGGGGGCAAGCCUGAUGCAGCCAUGCCGCGUGUAUGAAGAAGGCCUUCGGGUUGUAAAGUACUUUCGGCAGGGAGGCGUUACCCACAGAAGAAGCACCGGCUAACUCCGUGCCAGCAGCCGCGGUAAUAC
rnacentral:rRNA from 1 species